rnacentral:misc_RNA from 1 species
GAUGAAGAACGCAGCGAAAUGCGAUAAGUAAUGUGAAUUGCAGAAUUUAGUGAAUCAUCGAAUCUUUGAACGCAUAUUGCGCCCGCCAGCACUCUGGCGGGCAUGCCUGUUCGAGCGUCAUUUCAACCCUCAGGCCUCGCGUCUGGCGUUGGGGCGCUGCGGCCCUCCCGCAGGCCCCCAAAUUUAGCGGCGGAUUCCCCGCGGCCCUGAGCGCAGUAGAGAGUAAAAACUUUAACGCUCGGCGGCCGUGGCGCGGUUCUGCCUCUUUCCCAAUAGCGCCAAUAGCGCCACCCCCAAAAAAGUUGACCUCGGAUCAGGUAGGACUACCCGCUGAACUUAAGCAUAUCAAUAAGCGGAGGA